AGUUCAACAUGUCCACGGCGUGAUCAGCGAGGUUUUUACGCUAAAUUGCGCACGUGUUUACAGGCGAACCGAAUCGUGGUUCAAGGAAUUUUGAACAAAACAUGAAGGAGAGCUUGCAGAAAGUGCACUUCUUCGUGUGUGCUGGAAGUUUAUACAUGUGUUCUCUAGAUGUGCCGGUGAUUAUUUUUUCAUUCCAAGUUGUACUUGUUUGAGCCUAGCAAAGACGUAUUUGAGAAGGAUGCAGACUGCCAGUAAACGUUACGAUGUCCCCCGGGAGACGGGCGGGGAAGUCAAAGGGAUGGUGCUUGUCCUGAUCUGCUAUUUCUAUGGAAUAUUACUUUUCUUCCUGUUUGGAGCUGUAACGAAAAUUGGACAGUUCCUCUUCAGAAAAGUUACAAAACAAGCAAAAGGAGUACAAAUUUGGAAAAUGGAGGGAAAAUCUGAUAAAUAUGACAUAAAUCAUAACGUCCGGCAUGCAGAUAAACAUGUGUGGGUCGGGCAGCGAUGACCAGUGACGUCAUCAUCUGGACAUUCCAUGUGCCAAAGUAUGCUGAAAUAGGGCUUCAUCUUACAAAAAAAAAAUGUGGCUUAGUGCAAUAUAGUUCACACUCCAUUCCCUAACUGUGAGGAUGAUUUAUGAAACGAAGAAACGGGAAUCUUAAUUUUGGAAGAGUUGAAUCUCAAAAUUUCACUUAACGGUAAAUUCGAAAAGAACCAUCCUAGACUGGUUCUGUGAUGUCUAGUCCAUCAAGCUCUUCCCUAAAUUGGUCAAACCAAUUGAUCGAGAAAUACUUGAAUGUGACUUUCAGAAAACACUAGUGCCGGAGUACCUCACUGCAGUGAUGUGACAGAUCGACAGCGCGCUCACAUUCCAUUAUGUACAUGUAUUUGUGAUAAAAUCACUCGUGUCAACUGACAAAAACACAAUUUAUACCUUUAUAUAUAUAUAUUUGUUUUUACUUUGUUAUUAAAUUGUUUUUUCUAACUCGA